GACGAACGCUGGCGGCGUGCUUAACACAUGCAAGUCGAGCGGAGCGGCGAACGGGUGAGUAACGCGUGAGUAACUGCCCCCCUCUCAGGGAUAACAGUUGGAAACGGCUGCUAAUACCGGAUAGUGGGGGAUGACUCGCGUCCUAUCAGCUUGUUGGUGGGGUAGUGGCCUACCAAUGCGACGACGGAUAGCCGACCUGAGAGGGGGACCGGCCACAAUGGUCUGAGAUACGGCGCAAACGCCUACGGGAGGCAGCAGGGGAAAAUAUUACACAGUUGGGGAGACCCUGAUGCAGCAGCGCCGCGUUCGGAAAGACGGCCUUCGGGUUGUAAACCGCUUUCAGCCAAGACGCGGUAGUGGCAGAAGAAGCACCGGCUAACUACGUGCCAGCAGCCGCGGUAAUUC
rnacentral:rRNA from 1 species